UGCCAGCAGCCGCGGUAAUACGGAGGGGGUUAGCGUUGUUCGGAAUUACUGGGCGUAAAGCGCACGUAGGCGGAUUAGUAAGUUAGGGGUGAAAUCCCGGGGCUCAACUCCGGAACUGCGCCUGAAACUACCUGACUUGAGUAUAGGAGGGGAUAGCAGAAUUUCUGGUGUAGCGGUGAAAUGCGUAGAUAUCAGAAGGAAUACCAAUGGCGAAGGCAGCUAUCUGGACUAAUACUGACACUGAGGCACGAAAGCGUGGGGAGCGAAAGGGAUUAGAUA
rnacentral:rRNA from 1 species